rnacentral:lncRNA from 1 species
GGCCAGAGGCAGCGACAGCGAGGGGCCUCUGUCAUGUUUGGGCCACAGCCAGCAGUCCACCUUUUCUCCUGUAAGCACCUUCCUUUUCCAUCUGGGGAGGGAAGCUGAGAUGGCCCAUCAGUUUGACAGGCAGCCUUGUCCCUGGUCCCUUGGGGCUGCCUCGUGAUUCAUACCAGGAACUAAGAACCCAGUAGUUUCUCAGCCUCUGAAGUUGGGUGCCAGAGCAGGCCCAAUUGGUGUUGAAGACCUGGAGGGUUCCUGGAGUGCCACUGGUCCUCAGUUACCUUUGGGAGCCUGGAAGCAUGGAUUAAUAGCACCGAAGAAGAAGCAGCAGGGGAUGUGUGAAACCAGUAAUCCUUUUACUGCUGGACCUGGCUGGGUUUGCACAGCACAGCUGGAACUGCAAACAUCAUUUGAGACCCUGGGGGAGUUAAAUGGACAGACUGAGGUUGAGAGCAAAGGGUUAGAGACAUCCUCAGAGACGUAAUCUGCCCAUUGAACUAAUCGAUCUGGAACCCCCUGUACCACUGCUUCUUGUUUUGGUGACAAGAAAGAGAAGAGAUGCUUAAAAGUCCUUCUAAGUCACGGACCUCAUGCAGAACAUUCCCAUUCAAGGGUCUAAAUGCACACAGAGUGUUGACCCUAUCUUCAUGAAGACACACCAUGGCUACAGUAGACAGCACCUCACUCUGUAAUCUGUUCAUCGAUCUCCCUGUAGAGCCCUAUCUGGGUGUGGGUGUGGCUAUGCACUGUUUCUCCAUCCAGACACACAGACAAAUUUUCUCAUACCAGUCAUCAGAGAGGACAGGAACCCAGCUCCUGCAACAGCCUGAGGUAUGCUUUCAUGUCUGUCUGGCCAUUUUUGAACAAUGUGUUCAGAAAACUCUGCUUUGGAGAGUGCAGAAGUUCCUUUUGUUGAAGCACAGGUAGUCUGCUGUUGAACCCAAGAUUGACUCAAGGGAAUUUAAAUAGGAGCUCUUUCUACGAUGACCUCCAGGAAGAAGCUGAAAGGACACCUCUCCCCCCUUUUUGGUGGAAAUUAAGCUCCCAGGUUUCGGCACCAGAUGUCCUGCGAGAUCGUCUUGCCAGCAAGAACGACACAGGACACUCGGAUCCUUCUGCAGUAAAGCUUUAAUGCAUCUUGAGAGAGAGAGCAUAAGCUUACAGGGCGGAGACCCCGAACUCCCAAGAACCCAUCCCUUAUAAAAGCUGGCAACCGCUGCCUCGGACGUGUUACCCCCUGACUCGCUGUAGCUCAUCGGACCAUAUGACGCC